GACGGAGGAUGCAAGCGUUAUCCGGAAUGAUUGGGCGUAAAGCGUCCGCAGGUGGCAGUUCAAGUCUGCUGUCAAAGACCGGGGCUUAACUUCGGAAAGGCAGUGGAAACUGAACAGCUAGAGUAUUGGUAGGGCAGAGGGAAUUCCUGGUGUAGCGGUGAAAUUCGUAGAUAUCAUGUGGAACAUCAGUGGCGAAGGCGGCUCACUGGACCAGUACUGACACUGAGAAGCGAAAGCAUGGGGAUCAAACAGG
rnacentral:rRNA from 1 species